rfam:Bombyx mori DNA, contig: Bm_scaf86_contig33837, strain: p50T/Dazao, build 2, whole genome shotgun sequence.
UUAACUCAAAUUUGUAGGGAGCUGGAACGUUUGCCUACGUUUGCCGCUAGGGGCGCUGUUCCAGCUGUAUACAAAUUUAAGUUA